rnacentral:tRNA from 1 species
ACAAAAAUGGCAGAUAAGUGCGUUAGAUUUAGAACCUAGAUAUAAAGAAGUGUAUUCUUUUUUUUGUA